AAAAACACCUACAGCUGUGUGCUGAACAAUCCCAUCAGCAACCAGACUCAACAUCUGGACAUCACUCACCUCUGUCACACAUGUGCAGGUACGGCAGCGCUGAUGUAUCCUUUUAUUUACCUGAUUGUAUUUUGUUGUAGAUCACAUUGAUGCAUUCCCUUCUCUAUUUAUCAUUACAGAGUCUUCUUUACACUCUUCAGUCACUGCUGCUGUUGGAUCUCUGUUGAUUGUUGCUGCAGUCUUUGGGAUUUUCUGCAUCAGCAAGAUAUGUAGAAAAAUUUAUCAAGAACACACAGUUCAGACUCGUGCAGAAGAGAUCACUUACGCUGAACCAGCUUUCCACAAGAGAAAAGCACAGAACUCGAAUAUUAAAGAGGAGGAUCAGGUGGAGGAUCGGGUGGAGGAUCAAGUGGAGUAUGCACCGGUUGCCAUGAGAAGAUGAUCAAUC